rnacentral:rRNA from 1 species
ACUUAAAUUGAAGAGUUUGAUCAUGGCUCAGAUUGAACGCUGGCGGCAGGCCUAACACAUGCAAGUCGAGCGGUAGCACAGAGAGCUUGCUCUCGGGUGACGAGCGGCGGACGGGUGAGUAAUGUCUGGGAAACUGCCUGAUGGAGGGGGAUAACUACUGGAAACGGUAGCUAAUACCGCAUAACGUCGCAAGACCAAAGUGGGGGACCUUCGGGCCUCAUGCCAUCAGAUGUGCCCAGAUGGGAUUAGCUAGUAGGUGGGGUAACGGCUCACCUAGGCGACGAUCCCUAGCUGGUCUGAGAGGAUGACCAGCCACACUGGAACUGAGACACGGUCCAGACUCCUACGGGAGGCAGCAGUGGGGAAUAUUGCACAAUGGGCGCAAGCCUGAUGCAGCCAUGCCGCGUGUGUGAAGAAGGCCUUCGGGUUGUAAAGCACUUUCAGCGGGGAGGAAGGCGGUGAGGUUAAUAACCUCACCGAUUGACGUUACCCGCAGAAGAAGCACCGGCUAACUCCGUGCCAGCAGCCGCGGUAAUACGGAGGGUGCAAGCGUUAAUCGGAAUUACUGGGCGUAAAGCGCACGCAGGCGGUCUGUCAAGUCGGAUGUGAAAUCCCCGGGCUCAACCUGGGAACUGCAUUCGAAACUGGCAGGCUAGAGUCUUGUAGAGGGGGGUAGAAUUCCAGGUGUAGCGGUGAAAUGCGUAGAGAUCUGGAGGAAUACCGGUGGCGAAGGCGGCCCCCUGGACAAAGACUGACGCUCAGGUGCGAAAGCGUGGGGAGCAAACAGGAUUAGAUACCCUGGUAGUCCACGCUGUAAACGAUGUCGAUUUGGAGGUUGUGCCCUUGAGGCGUGGCUUCCGGAGCUAACGCGUUAAAUCGACCGCCUGGGGAGUACGGCCGCAAGGUUAAAACUCAAAUGAAUUGACGGGGGCCCGCACAAGCGGUGGAGCAUGUGGUUUAAUUCGAUGCAACGCGAAGAACCUUACCUGGUCUUGACAUCCACAGAACUUUCCAGAGAUGGAUUGGUGCCUUCGGGAACUGUGAGACAGGUGCUGCAUGGCUGUCGUCAGCUCGUGUUGUGAAAUGUUGGGUUAAGUCCCGCAACGAGCGCAACCCUUAUCCUUUGUUGCCAGCGGUCCGGCCGGGAACUCAAAGGAGACUGCCAGUGAUAAACUGGAGGAAGGUGGGGAUGACGUCAAGUCAUCAUGGCCCUUACGACCAGGGCUACACACGUGCUACAAUGGCAUAUACAAAGAGAAGCGACCUCGCGAGAGCAAGCGGACCUCAUAAAGUAUGUCGUAGUCCGGAUUGGAGUCUGCAACUCGACUCCAUGAAGUCGGAAUCGCUAGUAAUCGUAGAUCAGAAUGCUACGGUGAAUACGUUCCCGGGCCUUGUACACACCGCCCGUCACACCAUGGGAGUGGGUUGCAAAAGAAGUAGGUAGCUUAACCUUCGGGAGGGCGCUUACCACUUUGUGAUUCAUGACUGGGGUGAAGUCGUAACAAGGUAACCGUAGGGGAACCUGCGGUUGGAUCACCUCCUUACCUUAAAGAA